rnacentral:rRNA from 1 species
CGCCAGACUCCUACGGGAGGCAGCAGUGGGGAAUAUUGCACAAUGGGGGAAACCCUGAUGCAGCGACGCCGCGUGGGCGAGGAAGUACCUCGGUAUGUAAAGCCCUAUCAGCAGGGAAGAAACAGGACAGUACCUGACUAAGAAGCCCCGGCUAACUCCGUGCCAGCAGCCGCGGUAAUACGGAGGAUGCGAGCGUUAUCCGGAUUUAUUGGGUUUAAAGGGUGCGCAGGCGGAGGUGCAAGUCAGCGGUCAAAUUGCGGGGCUCAACCCCGUACUGCCGUUGAAACUGCAUCCCUUGAGUGCGCGAGAAGUAUGCGGAAUGCGUGGUGUAGCGGUGAAAUGCAUAGAUAUCACGCAGAACUCCGAUUGCGAAGGCAGCAUACCGGCGCGCAACUGACGCUCAUGCACGAAAGCGUGGGUAUCGAACAGGAUUAGAUACCCUAGUA